rnacentral:pre_miRNA from 1 species
UGGAGGAACAAUCCCAGUGGCGGGGCCAGCUCUGGAAACCGGAUUCAGCUCCCGCAGUAACUCCGGAGCUCUCCGUCUGCAGGGCCUGGAGGCUCCGGGGUGGG